CCUACGGGUGGCAGCAGUGGGGAAUAUUGGGCAAUGGACGCACGUCUGACCCAGCACCGCCGCGUGAAGGAAGAAGGCUUUCGGGUUGUAAACUUCUUUUACGGGGGAAGAGCAGAAGACGGUACCCCUUGAAUAAGCCACGGCUAACUACGUGCCAGCAGCCGCGGUAAUACGUAGGUGGCAAGCGUUGUCCGGAUUUACUGGGUGUAAAGGGCGUGCAGCCGGAGAGACAAGUCAGAUGUGAAAUCCACGUGAUCAACCCGUGAACUUCAUUUGAAAAUGUUGCCCUUGAGUGUCGGAGAGGGAAUCGGAAUGCCGUGUGUAGCGGUGAAAUGCGUAGAUAUAAGGAAGAACACGAGUGGCGAAGGCGGAUUACUGGACGAUAACUGACGGUGAGGCGCGAAAGCGUGGGGAGCAAACAGGAGUAGAUACCCGUGUAGUC
rnacentral:rRNA from 1 species